AAGUCGAGGGGUAACAGAAAAGCUUGCUUUUGCUGACGACCGGCGCACGGGUGCGUAACGCGUAUGCAACCUACCUCAUACUGGAGGAUAGCCCCUGGAAACGGGGAUUAAUACUCCAUAGUAUCACAAUUUCGCAUGUUAUUGUGAUUAAAGUUUUUCGGUAUGAGAUGGGCAUGCGUCCCAUUAGCUUGUUGGUGAGGUAACGGCUCACCAAGGCAACGAUGGGUAGGGGGCCUGAGAGGGUGGUCCCCCACACUGGUACUGAGACACGGACCAGACUCCUACGGGAGGCAGCAGUGAGGGAUAUUGGUCAAUGGAGGAAACUCUGAACCAGCCAUGCCGCGUGAAGGAUGACGGCCCUAUGGGUUGUAAACUUCUUUUAUAGAGGAAGAAACUUGUCUACGUGUAGACAACUGACGGUACUCUACGAAUAAGGAUCGGCUAACUCCGUGCCAGCAGCCGCGGUAAUACGGAGGAUCCAAGCGUUAUCCGGAUUCAUUGGGUUUAAAGGGUCCGUAGGCGGAUUUUUAAGUCAGUGGUGAAAGCCGACAGCUCAACUGUCGAACUGCCAUUGAUACUGGAAAUCUUGAGUACAAAUGAAGUAGCGGAAUGAGUCAUGUAGCGGCGAAAUGCAUAGAUAUGACUCAAACACCGAUUGCGAAGGCAGCUUACUAACAUGUAACUGACGCUGAGGGACGAAAGCGUGGGGAGCGAACAGGAUUAGAUACCCUGGUAGUCCACGCCGUAAACGAUCAUCACUCGCUGUUGGCGAUAUACUGUCAGCGGGCAAGCGAAAGUAUUAAGUGAUGCACCUGGGGAGUACGCCGGCAAC
rnacentral:rRNA from 1 species